rnacentral:rRNA from 1 species
CCUACGGGGGGCAGCAGUGAGGAAUAUUGGUCAAUGGGCGCGAGCCUGAACCAGCCAAGUCGCGUGAGGGAGGACGGCCCUACGGGUUGUAAACCUCUUUUGCCGGGGAGCAACGGGCGUCACGUGUGGCGCCACUGAGAGUACCCGGAGAAAAAGCAUCGGCUAACUCCGUGCCAGCAGCCGCGGUAAUACGGAGGAUGCGAGCGUUAUCCGGAUUUACUGGGUGUAAAGGGAGCGUAGGCGGUGCAGCAAGUCAGAAGUGAAAGCCCGGGGCUCAACUCCGGGACUGCUUUUGAAACUGUUGA